UUUAUGGUCAGUCGGUACAACGCCCUGCUUGUGGCUUUUCCAUAAGGGUCCGAUAAUCACAUUUGAUUAUGUGGUUACUGUGUGAGGAAUAGCAGGUCUCCGCUUGAGAGAGAGGCGACAGCAUGACAGAGGCCACAAGGGGAAAACAGAGCUUCAGGAGGACCCAAUUCCAGUUUGGUCUGGGAGAAGUCAAGGACAGCCGGAGGGGAGCCAGGAUGGCUUGAGGCAGGUCUGAAUUCCCGGAGAAGGAACACCAAUAAGAAGUUACAUUCAAAAAUUUCUUCGGAGUCUGUUGUGAGGGAAUAGACUCCUGAGCCCUACGAAUACGCUUCUAUUUUCACAAACCUAGCCACUUAACCAUAACUACCUAACAAGGCAUCAAAACCAAAAAUUAUAUCAUAUGUACUCAUAUAAUAAAGCAAAUGAAAGAAUAAUGAAAUAAAUUACAAUCCAUACA